rnacentral:rRNA from 1 species
UACGUAGGGGGCAAGCGUUGUCCGGAAUCAUUGGGCGUAAAGCGCGUGUAGGCGGCCAGGUAGGUCGGUUGUGAAAACUGGAGGCUCAACCUUCAGAGGUCGACCGAAACCAUCUGGCUAGAGUCCGGGAGAGGAGAGUGGAAUUCCUGGUGUAGCGGUGAAAUGCGCAGAUAUCAGGAAGAACACCCGUGGCGAAGGCGGCUUCCUGGACCGACACUGACGCUGAGGCGCGAAAGCUAGGGGAGCAAACGGG